rnacentral:rRNA from 1 species
CGAAGUAGUGGAUGUCAUACUUCCAAGAAAAGCUUGCACUGUCAUAAAUAAAAAUCGCCUGUACCAUAACCGACACAGGUGGGUAGGUAGAGUAUACUAAGGGGCGCGAGAUAACUCUCUCUAAGGAACUCGGCAAAAUAACUCCGUAACUUCGGGAGAAGGAGUGCCUUAUUCGUAAGGCUGCAAUAACAAGAUCCAAGCAACUGUUUAUCAAAAACACAGGUCUCCGCUAAGUCGUAAGACGAUGUAAGGGGGCUGACGCCUGCCCAGUGCCAGAAGGUUAAAGAAGUCGGUUAGCGUUAGCGAAGCUGGUAACUGAAGCCCUGGUGAACGGCGGCCGUAAUAAUAACGGUCCUAAGGUAGCGAAAUUCCUUGUCGGGUAAGUUCCGACCCGCACGAAAGGCGUAAUGAUUUGGAUACUGUUUCGGAGAGGGGCUCGGUGAAAUAGACUUGUCUGUGAAGAUGCGGACUACCUGCACCAGGACAGAAAGACCCUAUGAAGCUUUACUGUAACUUGAAAUUGAAAUUGGACUUUAUUCGCGCAGUAUAGGUGGGAGGUGUUGAUUAUAAUCUUGCGGGAUUAUUGGAGCCAUCAGUGAGAUACCACUCUUGUAAUGUUAGAUUUCUAACUUUGAAUCAUUAUCUGGUCAAAGAACAGUUUCAGGCGGGCAGUUUGACUGGGGCGGUCGCCUCCUAAAUGGUAACGGAGGCGUACAAAGGUUUCCUCUGAACGGGUAGAAAUCGUAUCUAGAGUGUAAAGGCAUAAGGAAGCUUGACUGUGAGACCUACAAGUCGAGCAGGGACGAAAGUCGGUCUUAGUGAUCUGACGGUACUGAGUGGAAAGGCCGUCACUCAACGGAUAAAAGUUACUCUAAGGAUAACAGGCUGAUCUCCCCCAAGAGUUCACAUCGACGGGGAGGUUUGGCACCUCGAUGUCGGCUCAUCGCAUCCUGGGGCGGUAGUACGUCCCAAGGGUUGGGCUGUUCGCCCAUGAAAGCGGUACGCGAGCUGGGUUCAGAACGUCGUGAGACAGUUCGGUCCAUAUCCGUGUAGGCGUUAGAAUAUUGAGAGGAGCCUUCUUUAGUACGAGAGGACCGAGAAGGACAUACCUCUGGUGUACCGGUUAUCGUGCCAACGGUAAACGCUGGGUAGCUAUGUAUGGAGUGGAUAACCGCUGAAAGCAUCUAAGUGGGAAGCCCACCUCAAGAUAAGUAUUCUC